rnacentral:rRNA from 1 species
AUGGCCAAAUACUGGUGGAGUAGUUCCAUAGAUCGACGAUCUCUUCAUUGGAUAUCAUGGAAAGGACUCACAGUUCCAAAAAGCAAAGGUGGUAUGGGCUUCCGGGACUACUAUCUCUUUAACUUAGCACUAUUGGGAAAACACGGGUGGAGGUUCAUGACAAAUCCAAAUUCCCUUUGUGCUAGAGUUAUGCGGGGGAGAUAUAUCCCAGACACUGUUUUCAUGCAAGCCAACGUUCCUCAUUCUGCCUCGGCAAUUUGGCGCGCAACAGUGGCUGGGCGUGAGGCCCUCAGUACGGGCUUAGUACAGCGGGUGGGCGAUGGCUCCACUAUCAACGUUUGGACAGAUAAAUGGAUACUCACCACGGCUCCCAGAACCCCGUUGCUAAAACCUCCUAAUACUAAUGUGGAGCGGGUCAGUGAUCUUAUUGACACAGCCAACUGGACAUGGAAUAGGGAGUUGGUUUUGGAAACCUUUAUCACACCAGACGCCGAAGCAAUUCUCAAUAUAUCAUUGCGGCGGGGUGGUGGUGCAGAUUUCCUGGCAUGGGCGCAUGAGAAAUCAGGAAACUACAGUGUGAAAACAGCGUACCGAGCUCUUAUGAACCGCAACGAGCAAUUAGCUCUAGGUGAAGGGCAGGCUACAGGAACUUUAGUGGAUCAAUGUGGAAAUCACUAUGGUCUCUCAAAGUUGUCCCAAAAGUGCGUGUUUUCUGGUGGCGAGUCCUACGGGGCAUCCUACCUGAUGAGAAAACGUUGUGCUACAGGCAUAUCAGAGAUGUAA